rnacentral:rRNA from 1 species
GAUGAACGCUGACAGAAUGCUUAACACAUGCAAGUCGACCUGUGGCGGACAGGUGAGUGACGCGUAAAGAACUGUCCUCACAGCUAGAGACACCAUAUGGCAACGAAUAAUAAUACCUGAUACUGUGAGAGGGCUUUGCGUCCCAUUAGCUAGUGGGAGAGGUAACGGCGCACCCAGGCGAGGAUGGGUAGCCGGCCGGCGAGGGUGCUCGGCCAACAGGGGACUGAGACACGGCCCUUAGGACUACGGGAGGCAGCAGGGGGGAAUAACGGACAAAGGCCCAAAGUUGGAGCCAGCUAUUCUGUGUGAAAGAUGAAGUUUUCGGAAUGUAAAGGGCUUGCAGUUGAAAAGCGGUACCAACAGAAGAAGUGACGGCUAAAUACGUGCCAGCCGCCGCGGUAAUAC